GCAGAGUGUGGAGGAGCGGAUUCAGGAGGAGGCUCAGUGUCUGAUAGAGGAGCUUCAGAAAUCCAAGGGAGCCCUCAUGGACCCUACCUUCCUCUUCCAUUCCAUUACCGCCAACAUCAUCUGCUCCAUCGUCUUUGGAAAACGCUUCCACUACCAAGAUCAAGAGUUCCUGAAGAUGCUGAACUUGUUCUGCCAGAGUUUCUCACUCAUCAGCUCUAUAUCCAGCCAGGUCCAGGAGAGGGAGAAGGAGAGGGGGUGGGGGUGAGGUGAACAUCCAGGGCACACGAGAAAAGGAUGACCUGUCUUGGGGGCUCAGAAAUGCAGCUUAUCCCUGGAA
rnacentral:sRNA from 1 species